UGUGACUAUCUUUAUCUUAAGGGGAAGUUGCAAGCGAAGGGGGAGGAGGAUGCUAAAUGAGAAACGUCUACGUGUAGAAUUAGACAUUUCCGGAGCACAUUACAGAUUAUAUUGGCAUCUCUUCCCAAAAGUCACUUUGAUUCAACUUGGAUCGGUUUCUCACUAAUGGCAACCUUUAGGUGGUGAAAAGUGAGAAGCAAGCACCAGUACAGCUGAUUUGAUCUCCAGUGGGAUAAAUUCAGUUAGCCACAAGCAACGUGUCUGAGUUUUGAACCUAGGUUUGAUAUUUCAUUGAGCAUAGAGUUAUUUUCCAAUGUUUCUGUCCCCCAAAUAUCCUGCCUUUUCAUAUUCGAGAGGAAGCAAUUAUGUAGGAUGGAUCUAAUUGUUUCAGUUUCCUUACUGAAGUUGGGUUCAUUUUCCCUGUUUCAUUUCUUUCAAAGAGGAAGAGUUGUAAAUGCAAAUGUAUGACAGUGAGUAUGUUUCAUUUAACCUCUAGCUAGAAACCAGUGUAUGUAAAAUUUUAUUCAUAUAUAUGAGGUCAAAACUUCAGUAAUGCUCUUCAACAGUGCUCUGAAGAUUUAGCACCUUUGACUUGACACAAAGGCAAAAAAAAAAAAUUACUUUGAGUGAAGAUUCUGAGGUAUAAUUUUCCCUCCCCCAGGGUGUGAAACCCCCCUGGCUUGAAAUAAUACUGGCCUAAACAUUGGCUACCUAUCUGCAUCAGUCCCUACCCAUUUUCUUGGUUUUAGAAAGAAAGAAGAUACUCUAACCAAAAUAAGAAUUACUUUUAAGUACUACUACAAAUCGUAAACUGAAAGUAUCAGUUGAUUAUCUGUGUAUCCCAAGUGGCAUUUUGGUGGAAAUCGUUAUUGUUAAAAGACAUUUGAGGGAAAGUUGAAGAAAAUCGGUGGUACAGUUGGCAAAGCCGAGGACAUGGAUGCUGGGUAGAAAGAAACAGUAGCCACCCACCAGCAUCAUAGCUCUCUCUUUGGAUCUGAACAGAAUUAAAAAGAAAGAGCUUCCACAGUCACAGCAGAUGAAGAUCCUCUGGUAAAUCGAUCAGGAUUUUUGGCCUGCCCUCCAAAGUAAAGGUAACUGGCUGUUCCAACAGUUGAAUAAAUAUGAUGCUUCCGAUUAUAAUAGAGUAAGUUAUACCAAAGGGUGAUAGUUUUUAAAUUUAAGAUAUCUGAGUAAGGUUCCAGAUUUUAAGCAUAACCCUGAAUGUGAUCUUACUAAUAUGAAAUGACAGUGAAUUUAAGAGUUCAGUAUUAUUAGGUUUUAUAAAAACAAAAACUGCUAAAUAUCCCUCGUGCAAUUCAUUACAAUUACAGGAAGACUUUGGAGAUAGGACCCCUUCUCUCUCCCCAAAAAAUUUGUAUUAAUUUUUUCUGAGGAAGUUGUCCAAAGAUAUGUCCUUGUGUUUCUCUCUAGCUCCACUUUCCUCGGCUCCUGUUUUCUUCUCUCCACAAGCAAUGUAAACCGGGCUACUCAGGGCUGGGAAGAUCCUAAGCAAAUUGUAAAACAGGCAAGAAUUCUGCAGGCACACUUUCUGUGCCCAGUGCCUUUGCUCAGCCACCAGAUGGCUCUGUGCUCAUGAGCAGUCCCAGAUCAUUAUAAAACUAGCAGCCACCAUUAAUGGAGUUCCUCACUACAUGUUUGCCAUUGUGCGUUUACUAUUUGGGGAAGAGGGAUGGUAAGUUUCAUAUAAUGUGAGAAAGAGGAAAAAGUCCUGAAGGAAUUUUUAUUAAAAAGAUUCAUCCUGCCAUCUACUCCUAAAAGCAAUGAGGGGGCUUAUAAGUUAACACGCGGUUUAAGGUGAGUCAUUGAAGGAUAAAACUGAACAGAAUCCAAACAAGAAAGACCAAAGGAGUUUCAGCCUCUGAAAUUGAUCAGUUUAUGUAUUUAGGCAACAAAUGUAAUGCCUCAUUCAGGUUUUAGGCAACUGUAGCAAAGAUGGAAGCAUUUUGGAAAGAUAAUAUUUUGGCCCUUACCAAAAAGAAACAGGAGCUCCAGAAAGGAUAUGGCAGUUCUUUUUAGGUGUUUAGAAGAACACAGAACUGGGAAGCUCUAAAGUCUUCACCCUCAAAAUAGGCCCUUAAAAUUUUGGCCUAAAGCGGAUAGGGCAGCAAUGUAGAGGUAUCCUUCAGUGAUCAUCAAAGUCAUCAUGAAGGAUGGCAUUCAUUGUGGAAUGUCUUCUCUGUGCCAGAGAAGAGAAAAGCAGGGCUUUUCUAGAUGGUGGUCAGCAAUUGCCAGUGGUGAGAAUUGAGGGGGAAGGUAUGGAAGAAACAUUAACAGAAAUGCCAAAAGAGCAAUUCAGUCUAAAACUGUUUAUUGAGUUUCUACUCUGUGCAAAGAGAUUGUCCUUGAGGAGGAAAAGAGAAGAGUAAUAGGUGAUUUCCACAGACUACAAUUAAGACAUCCUCUGAUGAAAAGGUUAGUGUGAUACCAGGAAGUCAAUGACAAGGAGCAGGGGAAAAAGAAGUGUCACAAACUCAAGUCUGCAGGGACCAGACAGGUAGAGGAAUGAAAUGGGCCUGGUAGAACUGAGAGGAACUGUCAAAUUCAUCUAAAGGGCAGCCCCUCUUCAGCCCCAGCUGAUUGUAAACCCAGUAUCCAUUCAAUAAAUAUUUAUUGUGUGCCUACCAACAUACUGUGCUCUUCUGGGCAUUGGGCAUUAAAUCAAAGGGACAAAAGUCCCUGCCAUUGUGGCACUUACCUUUGAAUGGAAAGAGACAGAUAAUAGACAGCAAAUACCAUAAGUAAAUAGAUUAUUUGUUAUACUAGAUGAUGAUAAAUGGUUAGAAGUAGAAGGUCGGGAUAAGGAAAAUUGGGAGUGCUGAUGAGGGCUUACAAUUUUAAAUAAGGGUGGUCAGGGUAGGAUUUUUUGAGGUGAGAUCUGAGCAUUGAGGGUGAAGGAGUGAACCAUUGAGCUAUCUGGGGAUCCACUGAACAUCCACUACAGAAUUCUAAAGCAGAAGCCUGCCUGAGUUGUCUAAGCAGUAGAAAGAAGGCCAGAGCUAAGUGAGCAGGCAGGAGUGUGAUAGGAAAAAGUCACAUGGGUACAAGGCCAGCGUAUGCUACCUCAUAGGCUUUUACUCUGGGAGAAAUGAGAGGCCACUGGAAUGUUCUGAGUAGAGUAGUGACUUUAUCUGACUUCUGUUUUAAUGAAACCACUGUGGGCAGUGUAUUGAGAAAGGCUGUAGGGGCAAGGUAAAGCAGUGAGACCAGUUAAACUGUGGUUACUGCAAUAACCCAGGCAAGAGACCUUCCAGACUUUUAAGGGAACUGGAAUCUUGACUUUAAUGAUUUUUCUUGAGUAUUUUAAUGUUAGCAACUAAUUUAAGAAAAGAAAACAGUUUGAGUCAAUUCAAAUAGUCUAUGGGAUUCUGUCGUAUGCUGACAAUUUGCUCUCGAGUAUAGAAGUAGUGAAGAAUUUAGAGAAAGAUGAGUACUUUGGGCCAGGCUAAGCUGGGGAAGGUAAGAAUUGAUUUGAAACUCACAUGAAAGCUUGACUUUGAUUAGCACAUGAAACUGAAGGAAGGGAAAGAUAAUGGCAUACAGCUAUUUACAAUAGCCAAAUGUCCAUCAACGGAUGAAUGGAUUAAAAAACUGUGGUAUAUCUUUCUACACAAUGGAAUAUUAUUCAGCCAUAAAGAUGAAUAAAUUGCAAAUACAUGCUCCAACAUGGAUGAGCCUUGAAAACAUUAUGCUAACUGGAAGAAGCCAGCCAUGAAAAGCCACAUAUUAUAUGGUUUCAGUUAUGAGAAAUAUCCAAAAUAAGCAAAUCUAUUGAGACAGAAAACAGAUGUGGCUUCUAGGGGCUGGGGAAGGGAUGAGAGAGGGGGGAUGCUUAAUGGGUACUGGGUUUCCUUUUGGGGUGAUGAAUAUGCUCUUGAACCAAGUAGUGAUAAUGGUUGUACCACAUUGUGAAUAUACUAAAUGUCACUAAGUUAUACACUUUAAAAUUGUUAAAAUGAUAAAUUUUGAGUGAAUUUUAUCUCUCUUUUUUUUUAAUUACAUGUGGAAAAACAUUUGAGGGAUGUGUUUUAUGUCUUUAGCCAGAGUGGAGUUUUUCUAAGUGUGAGUGAUAGGUGAUAAAGCUAUAAAAAGGAUAUUUGGCCAGAUAGUGAAAGGUGUUGCCUGCCAGGCCAAGGAGUUUAGAAUUUUUCUGUUGGGAGCAGUAAAAUACAGCAGUGUAUACAUACUCCAUAAGGAAGAAGAAAACUGAAGAGGGGUUUGUGCUUUAGGAAUCACAGUCCCUGGGUUUCAAAGGAAAGCAAAUGGUUCCUAGUUUUAUCAGUCGGUGAUGUUGCUACUCAGCUGGUAGAAUUUUGUGACAAUCUCACACAAGUAUCAAACAAAAUUAUUUAGAGUUUCUUCUUUAAAAAAAAUUCUUACUAUAGUUCCUGGUUAUAAAAGUUUAUCAUUUAAAAAAAAUUAGGAAACUGUGUGAGCUGAUGAAUGUGUCAACUGAUCUUAUCGUGGUGAUCAUAUUUUUAUAUAUAUAUAAAAUUAUCACAUCGUGUACUUUAAAUUUACAUAAUGUUAUAUGUCAAUUAUAUUUCAAUAAAGCUAGAAAAGUUUAUUAUGUAAAUAUGUAUGUUAAUAAAAAGCCCCCUUAAUUACAUUCUUUCAUUCUUUCUCCUCCCCGUAAGUUUAAAGUUAUCUAGAUUGUUUUCUAUCCAUAGACUUAACAUUAUCAUCAUUAUUGCUUUUUCACAAAAAUAGGCAUGUACUAUGCAUAGUAUUUUACGUGUUGCUUUUUAAAUUCUUAUAUCUUGACUGUCUUUCCACUUCUUUCUUUUGGACUUCUACAUUUUAUGCUAUACUUUAAUUUGUAAAAAAAGAAAAAAGAAAAGAAAAAGAAAGAAAAGAAAAUGCCAUUUAUCUCGAUUAUAAAGAGGAUGAGAUAUCAUAAGAUAUAAAAGUAGCUAACAUUUAAUGAGCACUUAUUAUGUGCCAAGUGCUUUUCUAAGCAUAUUAAUUCAUUGACUCCUCAUAACAACCUGAUGAGGUUGAUACUAUUACGUCUCCUUUUACAGAGAAGCUCAGGCAGAGAUGAAACAUGUCUAGAGUUAGGCAGUUGCAGAGAUGGGCUCCAGAACCAGCUUCAGUUCCAACUGAUGGUUGUCAUGAGAGACCAUUUGGUCAUUGAGAUUUUUCAAGAGAAGUCAAUCUGGAAUUUUGUGUAAGAUUUUCGAAGUUUUAAUGUUGGCUUUUUACAAGAUCACUUUAUUGAAAUAUAAUUCAAAUACCAUACAUUUGCCCAUUUAAUAGUUCUUAGUAUAUUCACAUUGCUCAACCAUCACCUCUAUCUGGGUCCAAAACAUUUUCAUCGCCCCCAAAGGAGACUUUGUUUCCAUUAAGCAGUCAUUCUCCAUCCUCUCCUCUCUCUUGAUCCUGAAAACCAUUCAUCUGCUUUCUGUCUCUGGAUUUGUCUAUUUUGGAUAUUUCACCUAAAUGAAAUAAUACAGUAUGUGGCCUUUUGUGUUUCUCCUUUUACUUGGCUUAGUUUUAGGUUCUUCCAUAUUGUAGCAUAUAUUAGUACUUCAUUCUUUUUAAUGGCUGAAUAUGUUCCAUUGUAUAGAUAUACCACAUUUUAUUUAUCCAUUCAUCAGUUGAUAGACGCUAGGGUUGUUCCCACUUUGUGGCUAUUUUGAAUAAUGCUAUUAUGAACAUUGGUGUACAAGUAUCUCUUUGAGUCUCUGCUUUCAAUUCUUUUGAGUAUACAGCUAGAAGUAGAAUUUUUGGAUAAUAUUCUAAUUCUGUGUUUAACUCUGAGGGACUGCCAAACUGUUUUCCACUGGGGCUACACUGUUUUACAUUCCUGCCAGCAAUGUACAAGAAUUCUAAUUCCUCCACAUGUUUACCAGCACUUGUCAUUUUCUGUUUUCGUUGAUUUGUUUUUAUUAAUAGCCAUCCUAGUGGGUACGUAGUUGUAUCUUAUUGUGAUUUUGAUUUGUAUUUUUCUAAUGAUAAAUACUGUUGAGAAUUUUUUCAUUUGCUUGUUGGUCAUCUGUAUUUUCUUGUUUGAAGAAUUAUCUAUUGACAUCUUUUGCUCAUUUUGAAAAUUGGAUUGUCUUUUUUUUUGAUGGGGGGGAUGGGGUGGUAAGAGUUCUUUAUACAUUCCAGAUCCAAGUCCCUUAUCAGAUAUAUGAUUUGCAUAAAUUUUCUCCAUCCUCUGGGUUGUCUUUCCACUUUCUUGAAGGUGUUUUUUGAAGCACAAAAGUUUAAUCAUUUUAUGAAGUCCAGUUUAUCUAUUUGGCUCUUUUUAAAGAAAUACCUGGUAAGUUGAAUUCCAACCUACCAACCACCCAUUUGUGAUUGCUACACUGCUGCUACUGCCCCCAGAAAUCAUUUGGGAAAAAACCCUCUUUUGUGAAAAUACCUGUUUUCUGAAGUGGAGAUGGGGCAAGAAGCUCUGGAAAGUAGCAGAGGUAGAUUUCUCAUCAGUAGCAAUUUUGUUUCAGUUCACCUUUUCUGCUCCUGAAGUUCCUUCACUUAAAGCACUUUAGUGGGGAGAGGAAUGUGGUAGAAAGUGAAGAUGAUCAAGGUCUCUGGGUCCUGGAGAUUUUAUGUUGAUCAAAAGAGAGAUUAAAAUAGAUGUGAUAGUUUAAAAUAAAGGAUCAGAAACUUUGCUUGCACUACAGAUGGUGCCAUUUAAAAUCAAAAUGGCCAUGGGAGUAUAUUCAUUGUGUGUUUUAAUUUAGAGGUAGAAGGAGAAUGCAAGCCUUUGUGGGAGGGUCUGUCCUUUGAGAAGCAGUACAAACCCAGAUGGGCUACUGGAUCAGGGUGUACAUAAAUAAUGUGGAAAAGUCAGGGGGGUCUCAUUUGCUGGAUCUAUGACUUUCCUUAGAGUUGGAACUUUGCUGAGGAAAGGGGGAAGAAAAAUCAGUGUUCCUUUCCUCUUGAACUAGCACUCAAGCAUUGUUAGUCCUAGAAUUCAGCCCUCAGGCAGUUUGCUGCUCAGCUUGGGGACCUCGCGCCCCACACAUCUUACGGUUUGUGGGAAGGUGAGUUCCAAGUUCCAAGUGACACCCUUAUGUUGGGACUGCAAACCGUUGAUCCCUGGGAGAGUAAGCAUAUAUCGUGGUGCCACCUUGAUUUAAGAGCAUGUGCUCUUAAUCUCAUUCAUGAAGUCCUAUGAUUUAGUGGUGGUGAUGAGUUCCCAUAUGCUUAGUGCAAGGAAAGAUUUUCUUAAAGAAAUGGAAUGUGAAGAAGGACUUGAUCGAAUGAUAGAGUUUCAGCCAAGGGAAGGAAAGUAUUACAGAUGGCGUGACCCGUGUGAACAAAGGCUUGGGAGUUGGGAUCUGGAAUAGGAAGUUUUAAAGCUAUGAGUUGGUCAUUUUGGCUGGACUGUAGAGUGCCUGCUAGAGGAGACACUGUAGAUGUUGUAGAGCUGGGGCUGGGGCUAACUGUAGAAGGUCUUGAGUGGUAGGAGAAAAGUGUUUAUUGAAUUCAGUGGUCAGUGGGGAGCCCCUCAAGUGUUAGAGCAAGGACUGACAUAACUAAAGCUAUGCUUCAUUCUGCUAGACUGAUUCUGACAGUGUAGCACGGAUAGAUUAGAAUUGGGGCUUACUAUGUGACAGCAUAGUGCUAAUAAUAGCUAACACUUAUAGGGUGCUUUUGCACUAUUAACUUCCUUAAUGCUCCUCAUAAAGUAGAUGCUUCUCUUUUACUUUUAUAUAGACGAGGAAACAAGCACAGAGGCUCUAGAACCUAUGCUUUUAACCGCUGGGCCCAUGAGAUGGUGAUAUUUACAGUCACUUCAGUGAAAGCUGUAUCAGUACAAAGGUGACAUAGGGAAUUAUUUUUAACUGCAUGUUUAAUUUUGCAUUUUAUUGCAUCUGAGGCAGUGCACUAGAACUCUAUACAGUCAGCCUCUUUUUAUAGCUAAAUGUUGGUCCAACUUUCCAUUCUUUCUCUAUAACUUAAUCCUUUCUAUUUUUUUAAAACUACUUUACCUGAAGGCUUUAAAUGAAGAUUUUAAAUCAUAUUUGUCAAUAGUUUAAAAUUAUAGGUUAGUAUUAAAUUCCUAGAAACAUUUGGGUAUUAUUCAGGUUAAAAAUUAUAAUUUAUUAACUUUUAUGAGUGUAUUUUUAAAUUUUCUCUUUCAAAAAGUUUGCUGUUACUAGCAAAUGUUUCCUUGGGAGAAUCUGUAUGCAGUUAACACACAUAUGAUUAAGAAAACAAACUAAAAAUUCAAAGUUUUGAACUUCCUGGCAAAUGGCAUAGUUUGUAGAAUAAAUACAUGUACAAGUUGUCUUUUUAAAAGAUAAUUACCCUUUAAAAGUCUCCACUUUUGCAAUUAUUUAUAUUUCUAAUUUUGCAAGUGAUUUUCAGCAAUUCCAGCGACUGAGCUGAUAAAUUCAAUUUCCUCCUUCCACUGUUCUCCCCCUACAGGAAUACUGACUGUAAGUUACCAUAUUUCACUAGAGGGAGCAUAGUUUAAGGAGGGGCCUUGUCUGUCAUACCGCAUAUGCAGAAGAGAGCCGUGGCUCCCUUUGGAGAAAGAGAGAGGUGUGGUCAGAGGAGAAAGAGGGGAUGUGAACAGAGGCUCAGCCAAUUUUAGGAGGACAUAAAGAAACCAAAGCCAACACAUUCCUAAUUCAGUGGAUCUGAGUUUUUUGUUACUCAAAGGAAAUAACAUUUGGGGUUGAUAAUGGAUAAUCUGUUACCAACCCUGUAAUUUGCACGGAUAAACAUACUGUAGUUGCUGGUUUUCAAGUUUAUUAAAGUGUUGUAUUGGGACUAGUGGUUUUUUUCUAAAUAAAAAGGCUAGCUGUGUGGCAUCUUGCAUCUUAGAAAUUUUUUGGAAAGUUUCAGCCAUUUUACAUUAAACCAGAUUUAAAGACUGGCGUAAUCAAUUUUUUUUUUUUUUUUCCACUUAGUGAUGCCUUUGGUGUUUGAACAAAGCAUUUUACAAGUGAAUCUGUUGUGCAAAGAAUCAUUCUCUUAAAGAGAGACCUUGUUACCCUUGGCACCUGCUGGGAACAUCCCUAAAUUUGGAUGGUGAAGUAAGGCCAUAUUUUAAAUACAUCCCUGUAAGGGAUGAAAUGCUCACAACUUGGCAGCAUUUCUCUUCUGACGGCCUAGGUCUUAAGCCACAAACAAUCUAAUUGGUAGUAACAGCUUUUUCCAUAAGAGUAUUUUGAUAAAUUAAAUGUUUUCCUCUUCUCCUUACUCUUCUCAUGUCCUUGGCGAAAUCACUUGUUGUGCUCACCCUGGUGCCUAGCAGAAUGUCUGGUAUGUGGUAGGCAAUCAGGAACUUUGAUAAAUUGAGCCCUCAUUACUCAGACCUUAUAAAACAUCACUUAUCUGUGCAGACAGAUCCUGAAGAUCCUCGAGCUACAAGACAUCAUCAGAAGUACACUGACAGAACUGAUUGAUAGCAUACAAGGCACAUUGCUAUAUUAAACUAAUUAUAUUAAAUGAA